rnacentral:rRNA from 1 species
UGGGGAAUUUUGGACGAAUUGGGGGCAACCCGUGAUCCAGCAAUGCCGCGUGUGUGAAGAAGGCCUUCGGGUUGUAAAGCACUUUUGUCCGGAAAGAAAACGUCGUGGUUAAUACCCGUGGCGGCUGACGGUACCGGAAGAAUAAGCACCGGCUAACUACGUGCCAGCAGCCGCGGUAAUACGUAGGGUGCAAGCGUUAAUCGGAAUUACUGGGCGUAAAGCGUGCGCAGGCGGUCCGCUAAGACAGAUGUGAAAUCCCCGGGCUUAACCUGGGAACUGCAUUUGUGACUGGCGGGCUAGAGUAUGGCAGAGGGGGGUAGAAUUCCACGUGUAGCAGUGAAAUGCGUAGAGAUGUGGAGGAAUACCGAUGGCGAAGGCAGCCCCCUGGGCCAAUACUGACGCUCAUGCACGAAAGCGUGGGGGAGCAAACAGGAUUAGAUACCCUGGUAGUCCACGCCCUAAACGAUGUA